rnacentral:rRNA from 1 species
AACGAGACCUUAACCUGCUAAAUAGUCCGUAUUACCCCGGUAGUACGCCGACUUCUUAGAGGGACUAUCGGCUCAAGCCGAUGGAAGUUUGAGGCAAUAACAGGUUAACCUACACAGGCCUGUAAUAGUGGGCCUCUUGAAAUAUUACUGCUAGUCAAUGCAUCUCUCUCCGUUGGGAAGUCCCUUUUAUCGGGCGGAGACACGCUUCAGGGCGUGCGAUGCUGGCGACACCACCUGGUACAGGGGACGCC